AUUUCCUUAUUAUAUAAAUCAAUUAUAAAACUGUAGAAAGAUAUUUAAAAAUAUGGUGAUAAGGGACGUAUCGUGUUUAGCACAAAACAAAGUAAAAUCUCAAAUUUCAUUGGUCAGCUAAUGUUUGAGAUACAGUUUAUCAUAAACAUGACCACAGAUAACACAUGCAAAGGAAUCUAAGCGAACAGAACGUUUGUUACAUCAAAAUGAGAUACACGUACUUGUCACAGUAAUAAUUAAUGUUCCUGAUAAAUUAAUUGGCAUUAUCAAGACAUCAUGUGACAUCUGUAUAAUUAGCAUACACACAACCCAUUACUAAAUCGUUGGAGUCUGAAGUCUUGAUGAACGCUAACACUAAACAUACAAUCGAGCAGUUAUUUGACUAUUUUAAAGCCAAAAAUAUGUUUAUACAAAAUUGUCGGUAUAUUUAGUGUCAAACACAAUAUCAUGUGCAGUUUAGACACAACAAAAACACAUAAUUAUUGAUAUCAACAGAUUGUCAGUCAUAAAUGAUAACUAAAGGAUAAUUUAGAAAAUACGUUGAUAAAGUGCCACUGAAAAUUUUGGAAAAUAUAUAUGUUUGCAUUAUUGUAACGUUUAAUCUUCGUAUACCCGCGCAUUCGUCUGUCAGACCGUCGAUUUACGUUUGCCUUGUUUUUUUUUUAAACGGAAAACGUUUUACACAUUCCCAUCUAAUAGUAAACUUAAUUUUAUAAUAUUUUACUAAAUAACAUACUAAAAUGGCCCUAGCACUGUCGGUCUCACACACUGUGCAUGUGUUACAGCAUUUAACGAGGGUAUACGAAGGUUCAAGAUAUUUUGGAGUUUGUGACUCGUGGACACCGAGUGCAUCCGGGUAUACGUCGUCGACCCAGCCAGAUCGCCGGUCUUAGGAGAACUGAAGUUCGAGAAUAGAAUAAGCUGCGGUCCGUGUGUCCGUAUCUAAGCAAACUGUGGCAGAAAGGCGUUCGGUAUAAUAUAUCGUCGGGUAACAUCUAGUGGUUCGUCCAUAGAUUGACUGGCAGGACUUAUAUCCUGUUGGGUGUUACUUGGAAGAUGAUGAAAUAAAGGAGUUAUUUGAGGGUGUCUUUGAGGAUGAGGUCCCUUCACGGUGAGGUCCAUUUCAGCUUCCUGAGGUCUCUCUCUCAUACUGACAGCAGAGAUCGUCUCAGAGGGACUGGCGGAAGUCCGUGGUGGAGAUCCACAUCCGCACUUGAUUCUUUCGGGUGAUUUGUCGCAGGAAACUGAGUAUCUAAAGCGCCCGAGGGUAUCUGAGGAUUUGGCAACGCCGAAGACGGUGAAGGUGGAGGAGGUGGCGAGGAGUCAGGACGCUCAACUCCUGGUCCUGGAGGUGGACGCAGUAAAAGAGGUGCAGCACUUCCUAGACCAAGGCAACGCAUCCUCCAUGCAUCCUGAAGCAGUUGAAGUCGCGCCUGUUUUCUCCAUUUUGCUCUUCUAUUUUGAAACCAUACCUAAAAAGAAAUUUAACGUUCACUGACAAUCAUUACUGCGACAUACUUAAAAUUACUUCAAUGUAAUUGUCAAAAGUUAUACGCUUUUGAAAAACAAAUUUGACACUUGAAAUUUACCUGUACACGAGCUUCUGAAAGGGAAAUCCUGAGGGCGACUUCCUCGCGCAAGAAGACGUCGGGAUAGUGAGUCUUUUGAAAUAGAGAUUCCAAUUCCUGUAACUGUUGAGGAGUGAAGGUUGUCCGAUUGCGUCUCUGUGAGGAAAAAUAUUAAGUUUUAGUGGUAAUAACUUUUCAACUAAUUGGAGUUAAGUUUAAAUUUAAAAGAAACGUACACUGACCUGACGACGGCGCCCGAACAUGUACUCAGUAAGAAGAUCAGCCUGCGGUCCCAGUGGUG